AUUUAAUUUUAAUCAGACUAAACUGUAAAAAUGAUUGACUUUUAGUUAGGUGAAUGAGUCAAGUUCUGUAAACUUACAGUCUAACUACAACGAUGAAUUAGAAAAACUUCAACUUGAACAGAAAUUAAAUCAUGCAGGCAUUAUAGCCCAUAAACUUUUUGUUUAAUGCGCAUGCGCCAAAAUACUACGUCAUGACGGCGCAUUACUUCACCAGAGUUUGAAAAAUGCACUUUCAGCCAUCUUACUGUAAUCGCGAUGUGUGAGGCAAUUUUGCUGAUCAAAGAAGAAGAAAACAAAGGAGCGCACGUUUGGAUGACUACAGGUGAGACGUUAUGUACUAUGAAUAAAGAGACAAGUAAGUAUCUUGAUAUAUGCUUUCUUUAUUUUUAUUUUUUCACCGUAACAUAGCAGUUCUUAUUGCCAUAUUGUUUAAUUGCAAUAUGGAGGUGAAUUAAUCAUGUUUCCUGUAAUUUAUUUAUGAUUGCAUUAUAAUAAUGUCUUAUAUAUGAAUGUGAUCGCGUGUGUGGGCGUGUUCAAAGAAUUUGGUUGCUGAAAAUAUUUUAAUUGAACUCUGACUUUUUAAAUCAUUUUAAAUGACUUAAAGUUAAAUUUGCAGAACUAAAUUCAAAGAUCUGAUCUUGUAACAUUCAAAGACAUUUAUAUACAUUUAAUCCAUCUAAUCGCUAUUAUAACUACCAGUAAUGUUCAAUAUAUCACCCCCUCUAGAAAUACUGCUUUUAAUCCAUUUUUCUUUUUGCAUUUGAAAAGUGAGGUGUUCAAUUACUGUUUGUGUUUGUAAUAUGUAAUAUUUUUGUGCUUAUCUGGAGUUGUAUAUUCAUUUUGUAGGAUCAGUACAGAUUUGUUAUUGGAGAUACAGUGCAAGCUGUGUGGAAUCAAAGACCCGUAUUGAUGAAGUGAUGUUACAAGUUUCGCCAUUAAUUCUGCCAUUAAUUCAGCCAGCACACCCUGAUCACACACUACAAGCUAAAACACUGCCAUCAACUAUCCUUAUAGCUUUUAAAUGCUUUGAAUCUUUUCUAUUUGCAAGUAAUACAUUUUCACCUGUGCACUUACAAAUCCCCAUAUAAUCAUUAUAUAUUUAUAUAUAAUGAUAUUAUAUCAUUAUUUUCAAAGCAAAAACGCAUUCUGUGUGAACGACCCCUCAAUUUGCUUGGGACUUGGGUUAUUUAUCUAUAUUUGUGUAAUUGAUAAAGUUAUGUUUAAUUCCCUGUAAAGUAGGAAUAAAAAGGUUUAUAAAAAUGUUCUCUAUGUUUAAAGGGCAGUGUCAGUGAAGAUGGUGUGGCCACUGGAAUCCUGGUGUUUGUGGGAAAUGUGAAGGAGCCUCUCCCAGGAUUCUACUACAGUGUUGUCCUGAUGACUGAGGUAUUUUUUUUUUACUUUCCUGCCUUUUUGGAACAUGUCCAUUUACGCAUACUGUGUAGAGAUGGUGCGCAGCUUCAUGGACAUUUGAGGUUUUCUGCCGAUGGAGAGCUUCUGGGACAUUGACAUAAACAGCACUUUUUCCUACAACUUCAAAAAAGUUGGUGACAGACAAUUUUGGUUUCUUGUUUUUGUGCCUUUAGAAUUCGUCAAGUUUUUUUUUGUUUUGUUUUGUUUUUCUUUUCAAAAUUACAUUCACUGUAAUGCUGGAGUAAGAUUUUAGAAGAAACCUUUUGGUCCUGUUUAAUGUUUGUGCUAGUAAAGGUUUCAGAGCUUAUAAGUAACAAGGUUCGGUAACACUUUAUAAUAAGGUCUCAUUUGUUAACAUCAAAUAAUAUAUUAGACAACAUGAUCUAACUAUGUGCAUUAACUUUUUUACAGUAUUUAUUAAUCUUUGUUCACAUUAGGUAAUACAAAAUAUAGUGUUUUCAAGUUAGUUAAUAAAAUGUAUAGUCAUUGUUCAUGUUAGUUUACAGUGCAUUAUCUAUUAACAUAUGCAACUUUUGAUUUUAAUAAUGCAUAAGUAAAUGUUAAAAUUAAUAUUAACCAGGAUUAAUAGAUGCUUUAAAGUAUUUUUCAUUCAUAGUUCAUGUUAACUUAAGUAGUUAAAUAAUAAAAAGUUAUUGUAAAGUGUUACGCAAAGUUUUGAAUCUUUUCUUUUCUUUACAUUUUGUUUGUAUACAUUUUUGUUUGUAUCUUAUUUAUCAUCUUAUAGAUCAUACAGAAUGAUUUUUUUCUGAAAAUGUAAAAAUGCAGAAAGUAUUGUGAUGGGUAGGUUUAGGUUUAGGUACCUUUGUAUGUGAGGGAGAAAAUGAUAGUGCAUAUAAGCCUCGCUGUCCUCCAGACUCUUUCUAAAUGAGAGUUAAAGUGUUGUAAUUGUUUGUGAUUGUGUAUAGUGUUUCUUGGGUUUUUCUUGUGCAUCAACAAAAAGGUUUUUGUGUAUUUGUUUUAGAGAUUGUUUUGUCAAUAAAUGUAGAGGGUUUCAAUUUGCAUUUGUGUUGAUUGUAAUAUUUUGAAAUAUACUAAAUUGUAAUUUCAUUAUUAUAUGUAACUACAAAUAAUGUAAUAACAAAUGUAUUAAAUUAAAUAAAAAUGUAUGUAAAUAAUGUAAUUACAAAUGUAUUAAAUUAUAUAACAGUGUACAUGUAAAUGAAAGUAUAUUUUAGUUCACAUUAAUUGCUUGUCAGUACAUUCAGAAGUACACUUUUACCAUAUUUCAAAGUACAUAAAAAAUUAUAUUAAAGUCCCACUUAAGUGGUUUAAAAAAAUCACUCAGAAGUUCAACU